rnacentral:rRNA from 1 species
GAUCAUGGCUCAGGAUGAACGCUAGCUACAGGCUUAACACAUGCAAGUCGAGGGGCAGCGGGAUUGAGGCUUGCUUCAAUUGCCGGCGACCGGCGCACGGGUGAGUAACGCGUAUCCAACCUGCCCAUCACUUGGGAAUAACCUUGCGAAAGUAAGACUAAUGCCCAAUGAUAUCCCACGAAGGCAUCCGAAUGGGAUUAAAGAUUUAUCGGUGAUGGAUGGGGACGCGU